rnacentral:lncRNA from 1 species
AGACCUAGACUCUAAGACUCUCUAAGACUAGACUGGACUCUAGACACUAUACGACUUUUCUAAGAUACUAUGCGAUACUAAUAUAUGCUAAGGGUUAGAACUAUCCUAAAGGUCUUCUAACCUAGACUCUGGUUACUUUAGACUCUACUAAUGGACAGGAUGAACCUUCUACAGGGUGAACACUAUUGGGUAGACACUGGACUAUGGAGCUCU